rnacentral:rRNA from 1 species
UCUUGGUCAUUUAGAGGAAGUAAAAGUCGUAACAAGGUUUCCGUAGGUGAACCUGCGGAAGGAUCAUUAAUGAAUUGUAAUCGGGGCUGAUGCUGGCAGCUGGGGGUUACUUGGUUGCAUGUGCUCGCUGCGAGCAAUCCUUUUCCAAACACCUGUGCACCUUUCUGAGGGGGAAAUGGGGUUUCUUGACCUUGGUUCUUGAAAAUCCCCCUUCUUCCCUCACAAAACAUACUCUGCUUGUAAUGUUGAACGUGUUUGUGCCAUCAUGGCCUUAACUUAAUACAACUUUUGACAACGGAUCUCUUGGCUCUCGCAUCGAUGAAGAACGCAGCGAAAUGCGAUAAGUAAUGUGAAUUGCAGAAUUCAGUGAAUCAUCGAAUCUUUGAACGCACCUUGCGCUCCCUGGUAUUCCGGGGAGCACGCCUGUUCGAGUGUUGUGAAAUUAUCAAGUCAGGAUGCUUUGUUGUCCUCUGACCUUGGUUGAUUGGGCUUUGCCGUGCUCUUCACUGAAACGGCUGGCCUUAAAAGCAUUAGCUGACUCUCAUGUGGCAUUGGUUCUACUUGGCGUGAUAAUAAUGUGACCGCUGAGGACAUUCUUCGGGAUGGCCAAACCUCAUUUUGAGUNGCUACUAAUCUGGUUUUGCAAGUUCUCCUAAGAAUCUGCUCCACUCUCAAUUUUUGGCCUCGAAUCAGGUGGGACUACCCGCUGAACUUAAGCAUAUCA